rnacentral:lncRNA from 1 species
UUUUUCACAAUGAAAAAAAAAAAAGUUUCAAUUUAAUUGUUGCUAAGAAAAAUCUUGCGAUGGAAAAAGUUGAAGAGUCAAUUGAUCCAAGUUCCAAAAUUUACAGCCUCGUACAAAAAGUAUACAAAUUAUUCUAACAAGAAAUAAUGUUUUAAAAAUUUAAAUCUUCACCUAAACCAUGAAAAUGGAAGUCAAGAGAAGUAGACCUAACCACCACAAAAGAAGUGAAGAUAGUGACACUUUCUCCAUUGACAACCACUAAUAUUUGCGUUCCAAAUCCCUACUUCAUCCAGAAUUCAAUCUCAGGAGAUAAAAUAAAAUAAAAUAAUCACAUUUCACCAAACAGCGGCAGCCUCUUCAACCUUUUGAUUCUACGGUUGCUCAACUCACCAUCCACAUUUCUUACACAAUUGUUCU